rnacentral:rRNA from 1 species
AGCUCUAAUAGCGUAUAUUAAAGUUGUUGCAGUUAAAAAGCUCGUAGUCGGAUGUCGGGCUCGGGCAGGCUGUCGGCUUCGGUCGGACGGCAGGCUCGGGUCUUUCUGCCUGAGGAUCCAUCUCAUUCACUUGGGGUGGGGACGCAGGCCGUUUACUUUGAAAAAAUUAGAGUGUUCAAAGCAGGCCUACGCUUGAAUACAUUAGCAUGGAAUAAUGGAAUAGGACUUUGGUGCUAUUUUGUUGGUUUAUGGGACCGAAGUAAUGAUUAACAGGGACAGUUGGGGCCGUUUAUAUUUCGUUGUCAGAGGUGAAAUUCUUGGAUUUACGAAAGAUAAACUUCUGCGAAAGCAUUCGGCAAGGAUGUUUUCA